UUUUGGCAAAGUGUCAGGGGCAGUGAAAACAGGCAGAUCGUAAAGACGCCGUGAAUCCGUCCAUGGAGGCUCGGGCCGCGCCAUCCUUGGCGCGGACGCUUU
rnacentral:ncRNA from 1 species